GAUGAACGCUGGCGGCGUGCCUAAUACAUGCAAGUCGAGCGAACAGACGAGGAGCUUGCUCCUCUGACGUUAGCGGCGGACGGGUGAGUAACACGUGGAUAACCUACCUAUAAGACUGGGAUAACUUCGGGAAACCGGAGCUAAUACCGGAUAACAUGUUGAACCGCAUGGUUCAACAGUGAAAGACGGUCUUGCUGUCACUUAUAGAUGGAUCCGCGCCGCAUUAGCUAGUUGGUAAGGUAACGGCUUACCAAGGCAACGAUGCGUAGCCGACCUGAGAGGGUGAUCGGCCACACUGGAACUGAGACACGGUCCAGACUCCUACGGGAGGCAGCAGUAGGGAAUCUUCCGCAAUGGGCGAAAGCCUGACGGAGCAACGCCGCGUGAGUGAAGAAGGUCUUCGGAUCGUAAAACUCUGUUUUUAGGGAAGAACAAAUGUGUAAGUAACUAUGCACGUCUUGACGGUACCUAAUCAGAAAGCCACGGCUAACUACGUG
rnacentral:rRNA from 1 species